rnacentral:rRNA from 1 species
CACCGGCGGCUCGAGUGGUGGCCACUUUUAUUGGGUCUAAAGCGUCCGUAGCCGGCUUGGCAAGUCCCCUGGGAAAUCUGGCGGCUUAACCGUCAGGCGUCCAGAGGAUACUGCCAGGCUUGGGACCCGGAGAGGUGAGAGGUACCUCAGGGGUAGGGGUGAAAUCUUGUGAUCCCUGAGGGACCACCAGUGGCGAAGGCGUCUCACUAGAACGGGUCCGACGGUCAGGGACGAAAGCUGGGGGCACGAACCGG